rnacentral:tRNA from 1 species
UUGAAAAAAUCCAAAAAAGGCAUUUUGUCACACUGGCAGUGUGGAAGUCAGGGGUUCGAGUCCCCUAUGCUCCACCA